UUUCCACAGAUGGAAUCCCAUGGUUUUGGGAUUAGCAGUAUCUCAAAAGACUACGUGAGCCUCUAGGCCUCCAGGUACUGCCUACUGCCAAACAAGCAAGUCAUUAAGGAAUGACCGAAAUUGGAACAGAAAUGCAAUUCAGUGGAGAAGGUGAGAUGCACAAACUGCUUAGAGAAGAUGCACUGCUGACACCUUGAAUCUUGCAAGAUAUAGUUCGCUGGUACCAAGAGGACAGACAGAGAACAGCUGCCUUACCAGAAAUGUAAAGUUAAGCCACUCCCCUCCCUGCCAUCCUCUGCAUCAUGAAACCAUUCAAAAGAAAUGAUGGACCACAUCUGGAAAAUGAAUGCCAGGAACUGCCUGCUGGUGGUGGAGGUGGUGAGUCAGCCUAGCAGCAAUGAAUGGGGAGUCAGAUGCUUCCAUAUUUUAGUUUUGUAUCUGAUAACAAUUUGCUCCAAAAAGGCAUGUGGCACUUCCUGCAAGAUUUGCCAGCAACACAGCGCUUAACCAUCUUAUAGUCUCUACUUUCCCUGCCUGCUGUCAUCUGGAUUAUGUUUUCCUCUCAUACACAGACACAUGAAGAACAUCUACGUCUCUCGUUGUGUGGGCACAGAUUAGUCAAGAUAAGGACUCUAAAGCACUGAAACUGUUGCUCUGUUUACUUAUUCCCUGCUCUGAGAGAACUGAGGAGUGAGUAUGUAUCUACUCCAAGCAGACAUGAAGCAUCUUGCCAAAUAGAUUACAUUCUGAAAGUACCAUGUGUUUCCUCCAAAAGGAAGAUGACACUCUGAAUGGCACAGAAAGAUCUUACGAGUGCUAAUAUUAGCAAGAAGAGCAAAGUCUCCUAAUAACUGAGGCUUCUCUCCAUACAGAAACUGUAAGAAGCAGCAGAUUACAAAAGUUUGUUCUCCAUUUUGGUGCAGUUUCAAGAUUCCCCCCACCACACACACUUCAAAGUUCUCUCUUACCUCCCCUCCCUCCUGUAAUUGCAAUUUUGUUUAUUAAAAAUUUACAUUUAAUUCCUUGAGAACUGUUUUCUGCUAUCUUUCCAAAUGCCAAGAGCCACAAAUCCGAGCCAUAAGACUUCAAAGUGAAAUCUACACACUUCAAUUUCUGUACGUGUUCAAAAACCAGAUUCAAUUCAUUUCAAAGAUCAACAUUUUUUGAUCUUUUAAACUCAAAUAACAUAGUUAUUUCUUACUGCAAUGACAUUCUUAUUUUUUAAUGCUGCAAUUGACUCAACACCAGCGGAUGGUACAAACAUGCACCUUGUCUGAAAAGAAGCUAAAAGAUCUUACCAGCCAAGAGGUGGUGUUAUCUGUCCAACCCCCCCUGGAGACAAGGGAUAGAAGGUGGGGAUAUCAGGAGCUGGAGGA